rnacentral:rRNA from 1 species
CCUACGGGAGACAGCAGUGGGGAAUAUUGGACAAUGGGGGGAACCCUGAUCCAGCCAUGCCGCGUGUGUGAAGAAGGCCCUCGGGUUGUAAAGCACUUUCAGUGAGGAAGAACGCCUGGUGGUUAAUACCCAUCAGGAAAGACAUCACUCACAGAAGAAGCACCGGCUAACUCCGUGCCAGCAGCCGCGGUAAUACGGAGGGUGCGAGCGUUAAUCGGAAUUACUGGGCGUAAAGCGCGCGUAGGUGGCUUGAUAAGCCGGUUGUGAAAGCCCCGGGCUCAACCUGGGAACGGCAUCCGGAACUGUCAAGCUAGAGUGCAGGAGAGGAAGGUAGAAUUCCCGGUGUAGCGGUGAAAUGCGUAGAGAUCGGGAGGAAUACCAGUGGCGAAGGCGGCCUUCUGGACUGACACUGACACUGAGGUGCGAAAGCGUGGGUAGCAAACAGGAUUAGAUACCCUGGUAGUC